CCAAAUCCGUGUGGCAAUACGAAGACGUGACGCGGACCGAAAUAAAAUAGGGAAGCAUGUGAGCCAUGUGCCAAGAAAAUCCGCUAUAGAUCAUACCGUACCCGUACCGUAAACCGACACAGGUAGAUGAGGAGAGAAUCCUAAGGCCGACGGGAGAAGCAUUGUUAAGGAACUCGGCAAAAUGACCCCGUAACUUCGGGAGAAGGGGUGCCCACGCGAGUGGGCCGCAGAGAAUAGGCUCAAGCAACUGUUUAGCAAAAACACAGGUCUAUGCGAAACCGAAAGGUGAGGUAUAUGGGCUGACGCCUGCCCGGUGCUGGAAGGUUAAGAGGAGGAGUCAGGCAACGAAGCUCCGAAUUUAAGCCCCAGUAAACGGCGGCCGUAACAAUAACGGUCCUAAGGUAGCGAAAUUCCUUGUCGGAUAAGUUCCGACCCGCACGAAAGGCGUAAUGAUUUGAGCACUGUCUCGACAAUGCACCCGGUGAAAUUGAAGUACCAGUGAAGAUGCUGGUUACCUGCGCCAGGACGGAAAGACCCCAUGGAGCUUUACUCCAGUUUGAUACUGGGAUUCGAUACUGAAUGUACAGGAUAGGUGGGAGGCUGAGAAGCGUGGACGCCAGUCUGCGGUGAGCCGCUGUUGGGAUACCACCCUUUGAGUAUUGGAUUUCUAACCUGCGCCCGUGACCCGGGCGGGGGACAAUGUCUGACGGGGAGUUUGACUGGGGCGGUCGCCUCCGAAAGGGUAUCGGAGGCGCUCAAAGGUUCCCUCAGAAUGGUUGGAAACCAUUCGCAGAGUGCAAAGGCAGAAGGGAGCUUGACUGUGACACCGACGGGUGGAGCAGGUACGAAAGUAGGACUUAGUGAUCCGGUGGUAUGAAAGUGGGAUUGCCAUCGCUCAACGGAUAAAAGCUACCCUGGGAUAACAGGCUUAUCACUCCCAAGAGUUCACAUCGACGGAGUGGUUUGGCACCUCGAUGUCGGCUCAUCGCAUCCUGGGGCUGUAGCAGGUCCCAAGGGUUGGGCUGUUCGCCCAUUAAAGCGGUACGCGAGCUGGGUUCAGAACGUCGUGAGACAGUUCGGUCCCUAUCCGGCGCAGGCGUAGGAUAUUUGAGAGGAGCUGUCCUUAGUACGAGAGGACCGGGAUGGGCAGACCGCUGGUGUAUCUGUUGGUGACCAACACCAUGGCAGAGUAGCCAAGUCUGGCAGGGAUAAACGCUGAAGGCAUCUAAGCGUGAAGCCCCCCUCAAGAUGAGAUAUCCCAAUAAGUAAGACCCCUUAGAGAGUAUGAGGUAGAUAGGCUUAAGGUGUAAGCAUAGUAAUAUGUUCAGCUGAUAAGUACUAAUAGGUCGAGGGCUUACCAA
rnacentral:rRNA from 1 species